rnacentral:rRNA from 1 species
CCUACGGGAGGCAGCAGUGAGGAAUAUUGCACAAUGGGCGAAAGCCUGAUGCAGCAACGCCGCGUGGACGAUGAAGGCCUUCGGGUCGUAAAGUCCUUUUCAGGGAGACGAGAGAGGACGGUACCCCUGGAAUAAGUCACGGCUAACUACGUGCCAGCAGCCGCGGUAAAACGUAGGUGGCGAGCGUUAUCCGGAUUCACUGGGCGUAAAGCGCCUGCAGGCGGUCUCGUAAGUGGGAUGUGAAAUCUCCCGGCUUAACUGGGAGGGGCCAUUCCAUACUGCGGGGCUAGAGGACAGGAGAGGGAAGCGGAAUUCCCGGUGUAGGGGUAAAAUGCGUAGAUAUCGGGAGGAACACCAGUGGCGAAGGCGGCUUCCGGGUCUGCUCCUGACGCUAAGAGGCGAAAGCUAGGGGAGCGAACGGGAUUAGAUCCC